AAGUCGUAACAAGGUUUCCGUAGGUGAACCUGCGGAAGGAUCAUUAUCGAAAUCGUCACCGAUUUUGAAAAAACACCGUGAACACGUCGGGCUUGCCCGCACUUUCCACAAACUCGUGUACGUAGUCUUGUGAAUGUCAAGCCUUCGGGCAAUUUAAAAAUAUAACUUUCAGCAACGGAUCUCUUGGCUCUC
rnacentral:misc_RNA from 1 species